GCCGCGGUAGCUCAGCUGGUAGAGCAACGCAUUCGUAAUGCGUGGGUCGGGGGUUCGAGUCCCUCUCGCGGCACCA
rnacentral:tRNA from 1 species